UAUGUGAUCGUCUCUCGCAUAUCAAUAAGCGGAGGAAAAGAAACUAACAAGGAUUCCCCUAGUAACGGCGAGUGAAGCGGGAAGAGCUCAAAUUUGAAAUCUUAAAGGGUUUCCCUUUACGAAUUGUAGUUUAAAGAAGUGUUUUCUGUUGAGGUUUUGGUAAAAGUUCUUUGGAAUAGGACAUCAUAGAGGGUGAGAAUCCCGUAUUUGACCUUUACUUUCAACUUUGUGAUACACUUUCAAAGAGUCGGAUUGUUUGGGAAUGCAGUCCAAAAUGGGUGGUAAAUUUCAUCUAAAGCUAAAUAUUGGCGAGAGACCGAUAGCGAACAAGUACCGUGAGGGAAAGAUGAAAAGAACUUUGAAAAGAGAGUUAAACAGUACGUGAAAUUGUCAAAAGAGAAGCGUUUGACACCGGUGUUGUUUUUCUGAAAAUCAAUUAAAGAACUGUUUAUGCUAAGCUGUUUAGACUUUAUCAGCUAACUGUUUAGUUUUGAGCUUUUCUUUAAUGCACUUUUCAGUUAACAAGUCAACAUCAAUUUCUUUUGCUGUAAAAAAGCUUGAGGAAGGUGGCUUGAGAUUCGUCUUAAGUGUUUAUAGCCUCUUGCCUAUGCAGUCGGAGAGAUUGAGGUCUGCAGCGUAGAUCCUUCGGGGCUAAAUGCAUUUGUGCUAAGUUAUAGUCCUUUCAUAGACAACUUGUUGACUAUGUUUAGUCUUGUAGCUUACUCGCUUACGCUAUUUUACCUACGCUUAGGAUGUUGACGAGACUGUCGAUCU
rnacentral:rRNA from 1 species